AGGGUUCGAUUCUGGCUCAGGAUGAACGCUGGCGGCGUGCUUAACACAUGCAAGUCGAACGGGAUCCCAGGAGCUUGCUCCUGGGUGAGAGUGGCGAACGGGUGAGUAAUGCGUGACCGACCUGCCCCAUACACCGGAAUAGCUCCUGGAAACGGGUGGUAAUGCCGGAUGCUCCAGUUGACCGCAUGGUCCUCUGGGAAAGCUUUUGCGGUAUGGGAUGGGGUCGCGUCCUAUCAGCUUGAUGGCGGGGUAACGGCCCACCAUGGCUUCGACGGGUAGCCGGCCUGAGAGGGCGACCGGCCACAUUGGGACUGAGAUACGGCCCAGACUCCUACGGGAGGCAGCAGUGGGGAAUAUUGGGCAAUGGGCGAAAGCCUGACCCAGCAACGCCGCGUGAGGGAAGAAGGGUUUCGGCUCGUAAACCUCUGUCCUAUGGGACGAAGGAAGUGACGGUACCAUAGGAGGAAGCCCCGGCUAACUACGUGCCAGCAGCCGCGGUAAUACGUAGGGGGCGAGCGUUAUCCGGAUUCAUUGGGCGUAAAGCGCGCGUAGGCGGCCCGGCAGGCCGGGGGUCGAAGCGGGGGGCUCAACCCCCCGAAGCCCCCGGAACCUCCGCGGCUUGGGUCCGGUAGGGGAGGGUGGAACACCCGGUGUAGCGGUGGAAUGCGCAGAUAUCGGGUGGAACACCGGUGGCGAAGGCGGCCCUCUGGGCCGAGACCGACGCUGAGGCGCGAAAGCUGGGGGAGCGAACAGGAUUAGAUACCCUGGUAGUCCCAGCCGUAAACGAUGGACGCUAGGUGUGGGGGGACGAUCCCCCCGUGCCGCAGCCAACGCAUUAAGCGUCCCGCCUGGGGAGUACGGCCGCAAGGCUAAAACUCAAAGGAAUUGACGGGGGCCCGCACAAGCAGCGGAGCAUGUGGCUUAAUUCGAAGCAACGCGAAGAACCUUACCAGGGCUUGACAUAUGGGUGAAGCGGGGGAGACCCCGUGGCCGAGAGGAGCCCAUACAGGUGGUGCAUGGCUGUCGUCAGCUCGUGUCGUGAGAUGUUGGGUUAAGUCCCGCAACGA
rnacentral:rRNA from 1 species